UACGGGGGGAGCAAGCGUUGUUCGGAUUUACUGGGCGUAAAGGGCGCGUAGGCGGCGCGGUAAGUCACUUGUGAAAUCUCUGAGCUUAACUCAGAACGGCCAAGUGAUACUGCAGUGCUAGAGUGUGGAAGGGGCAAUCGGAAUUCUUGGUGUAGCGGUGAAAUGCGUAGAUAUCAAGAGGAACACCUGAGGUGAAGACGGGUUGCUGGGCCAACACGUGACGCUGGAUGCGCGAAAGCCAGGGGAGCAAACGGG
rnacentral:rRNA from 1 species